CACGCUUCUUGAGUCUGCUCUGCAAUGGUAACUUCAUACCUGAUGUUUUUGGUUUAGGAAAGGAAGGGUGGAAGGCACUGGCCAGGGCUGCAAAGCUGCAAGUGCAUCAAGUUACACUGGAGUGUGCCCUGAACUUCCAGCGCUGACAAGGAGCUACAGACCCUGAGAUAUCCCCUGCCCAGCUGGCAAUGACAGAGAGAAAGAGAUAGAUCCACUUGAGGCCACAUCCAGAUCACACACAGAGGCAGCCACAGGUUUAGUGUGUGCUCAGAACAGAAAUCUCCAAAUCUGCAAAUGGCAGAAAAACGGCAAAAUUCCCAAAUCUGCAAAGCCACCACUGGAAACUGUUUUAUGUAUGUACCAAGCAGAUCUUAAAAACACAUUAAGGUCUCUUUGAUCUUUCCCACACCUGCUUAGGACUCUUGGGGGUGGCCAUCACAGCUGAAGGACAUUUAAGCACUGGUUGAAUAUCACAUCCACAAAGUAAAGCUUUCAUAUAGCUUUUUGAGCCCUGGUUGAAAACUGACUUAAUUAUCAACAGUCACACUGUGUCCUUGGGACAUACAGCAUGUUUACUGAAAACAAAGUAAAGGAAGAUGUUUAAAGUGAAAACAGUGACAGCAAAAACCCACAUGAACUCUUGACUUGAUGGCGAGAACAUAUGUAGGGCACAGACAAAGCAACCCAUGUGUCAGAUCAUCUGCUCAGCGCUUGGCAAUGAGACACCCAGGCAUGAGGGACCUGCCUGACACCCUCGUGGAUUACAAAACACCCAAACUGGCACUGUGUGAAGCCUCAUCACUGCAGGGCACCCUAGGGUGGCAACUCAUCCCCACACCCACCCAGAUCCAGUACCACUGGUACAGGUGUGUCCUGUGCUGUCUGCACAAAAGCUCCAGAUAACUCAUGUUUUCUGAUCUUCUGCCCCUUGCUCGAUGCAUUGCUCCUUUGUUUGCCUUCCCUUGCCCUGCAUCUAGAGCAGAGAUUACAAGCUGCACCAUCAGCAGCCCAGUAAGGUCUAAGUCAUAAGGAAGGAUCUGAGUCAUCUCCCCAGGAGAGUAUUUUAGCCAUACAUCAUUGUUUGUUUUCAGGCAAACCCGUACAAUUAUGCAACAUAAAUUCUUUUAAAGCAUUUGGGACUUCAGUUCAAUUUAAAAUCCUGUAGGCUUUAUGGCCAGAGUGAGUGAUUACUAAAUGUGUGCAUACAAAUGAAGACUUGGGAAGACGCACGUGGGGAGGAUUAAAGGGCAUAUGAAGCCUCAUACACACACCAGGCAAGCUCUGGCCAGGCUGAACCAGAAGAUGGGAGAGCUGAAGAGCCCAUGUCAAAAGAUGGAACACAAAUCACCCCCUGCCAGCACAAAUUCCAUGUGAGCCUUUCUGGCGUGAGCAAGAUGCAAACCCAGAUGUAAACUCUGCUGAAGCUGGGGGAAUUAUUGACAACUGAUACUGAGGCAAUCCAAGGCCAGACCCUGACCUAUUGAUUUCCCUGGGAUUGCACGGGACCUGUGCAGUUCAUUGCAGAAUACAGUCUUUGUUUUGUUUAUUACUCAAUAUAUAACCACGUGGAAUAAAGGACACCGCAGAACU